rnacentral:rRNA from 1 species
AAGAGACAGCAGUAGCCACGGGAAUACAGAGGGUGCGAGCGUUAAUCGGAUUUACUGGGCGUAAAGCGUGCGUAGGCGGCUUUUUAAGUCGGAUGUGAAAUCCCUGAGCUUAACUUAGGAAUUGCAUUCGAUACUGGGAAGCUAGAGUAUGGGAGAGGAUGGUAGAAUUCCAGGUGUAGCGGUGAAAUGCGUAGAGAUCUGGAGGAAUACCGAUGGCGAAGGCAGCCAUCUGGCCUAAUACUGACGCUGAGGUACGAAAGCAUGGGGAGCAAACAGGAUUAGAUACCCGCGUAGUCCCUGUCUCUUAUAC